UACGGGGGGGGCAAGCGUUGUUCGGAAUUACUGGGCGUAAAGGGCUCGUAGGUGGCCAACUAAGUCAGACGUGAAAUCCCUCGGCUCAACCGGGGAACUGCGUCUGAUACUGGAUGGCUUGAAUCCGGGAGAGGGAUGCGGAAUUCCAGGUGUAGCGGUGAAAUGCGUAGAUAUCUGGAGGAACACCGGUGGCGAAGGCGGCAUCCUGGACCGGCAUUGACGCUGAGGCGCGAAAGCCAGGGGAGCAAACGGG
rnacentral:rRNA from 1 species